GAGACAUAGCUAUGCUGCCUCCAUUGGGCCUAGAGCCUCCUCCACCCCUUCCGCGUGUGUGAAGAAGGUCUUCGGAUUGUAAAGCACUUUAAGUUGGGAGGAAGGGCAGUAAGUUAAUACCUUGCUGUUUUGACGUUACCGACAGAAUAAGCACCGGCUAACUUCGUGCCAGCAGCCACGGUAAUAAAAA
rnacentral:rRNA from 1 species